ensembl:lncRNA
AUUUCUAGCAGGAAAAACCCAGCUUCGGGAUGGCAAUAAGCUACAGGACUGCAGUGUCGAGGAUUCUGGGGAGCGGCACGGUCGGGGACCGCGGGAAGGGGAGCCUGCGAGGUCAGGGGAAAAGCCUCAUUCCAACGUCCCAAGAUGGCCGCCGCUGCCUGUCCGCCUCCUGCGGUUCGCUGUGACACACACGAGAUGACUUUGUUCUUUGGGUGCCUACUGCUAGACAGACGCAUCCUGUUGUGAUAAAGGAGACCAGCUGGAUUUAGGACUGCGGCGGCGUGUUUGCGGGCUCGCAGCACCAGCCGGCACGAGAGAGCGCAGUGCUCGCUCUGCUGCUUCCUCAGCUGCUGAGGAAAUGGGACACGAGUGGAAAUGGAAGAGGAUGGAGCACAGAGGACGCAGGGCCCUGCCGGGUGCCGUGCAGCAGCUGGUGUUGUGAAUCAGGCCGUCACCAGUCGGAGAACGGCUACUUCACAACACCAGGGUGGCACUGCACCACACUUCGACGCCAGCCAGAGGAGCAGUGAGCAGUAAGGGUCCCGGCAUAGGCACAGCCAGAGGAGCCCAGACCUGCUAAGUCCUUAGGCUCUGGUGUGCUGUGUGAAUGGGGAAGAGGUAUGGAAGGCAAUGGAGUGAGCAGUCUCUGUAUGCCGGGCACAUCUCCCACACGAGAUGGCUGUGGUCCCUGCUCUGCUGGAACACCUCAUUGCAUGCUUUCUGUAAAGGAUGCUGUGGCCACAUUCCUUGGAAAGGACACUAAAGCUGCCUGGUUCUGAUCUCUGGAUGCAGCUUCCUGCUCUGGGAUGCAGGAUAGAGGGGACUUCUCACUGGUGGGGUUUUCCCUUUCCUCCCACCCCAAGUAAGACUGCCUAUGCACUCCUAUGUGUUGGCUGCCCGCUCUCUAGUCUGUCACGAACAUUUGCAUGGUUGUAAAGCUAAGAGAGGAGAAAGAGGGCAAACAAGGUAGCAUAGAAGUGAUUAAGGAUUUCUUGAAAGUUUUCUUGUUAUCAUAACUCAACAGGUUGAAGCCUGUAGUAUAAACUACCUCAGUCUCAUCCUGGAUAUGUGAUGCUGGCAGGAAGAUAGAUGUAGGGGAGAGUCAGGAUACACACGAGAUGAGAAAUAGCGUGGGACAGUCUGGAAGUGCACGUGCACAAAGGCACAUGGGUGGCUGCAUCACAUGUCCUCAUCCUCCCCUUCAGGAAAGCUUCCUACAGAAGCAACCCCGAGUUCUGUCCAUAGUGAAAAUCCCUCAGCCAACACCAUGCAGGGCAUGGGGGCAGCCUGAUCUUGCAGAUCAGUACUGGUGUUUUUACACUAAUGAGAGAGAUAUGAGAGGGAGUGUUUGGAGUUCAGGCAGGAAUGAGUAUGACUUUGUCAACCUGACGUGUAAGAAGUCUGUUUUAUUAAACUUGUCUUCUGCUAACAGAAAAUGUGUCCUCUGUGUCCCGGUCUCUGUGUUUAUUGUAACCUUGUUUUAAAAGCUCGCUACCUGUAAGGUAGCUGUAAGGUUUGUUCACUGUGAAGUUUGCUUCACAGGAUAAAAUAAUGCAAGCCUUCAGAAAUAGAAGGUUACAACAACGUAGCCCCUCUUACCCCUGCAUACGUGCUCUGUUUACAUGGGCGGCUGUUCAGAUGCAGCACUAAAUACCAUUUCC